UACAGAGGGUGCGAGCGUUGUCCGGAAUCAUUGGGCGUAAAGAGCGUGUAGGCGGCCCGGUAAGUCCGCUGUGAAAGUCCAGGGCUCAACCCUGGAAUGCCGGUGGAAACUGUCGGGCUAGAGUCCGGAAGAGGCGAGUGGAAUUCCUGGUGUAGCGGUGAAAUGCGCAGAUAUCAGGAGGAACACCAAUGGCGAAGGCAGCUCGCUGGGACGGUACUGACGCUGAGACGCGAAAGCGUGGGGAG
rnacentral:rRNA from 1 species